AACGCGAAGAACCUUACCCAGGCUUGACAUGCAGUGGACGAUACCAGAGAUGGUAUUUCUCUUCGGAGCCGCUGCACAGGUGCUGCAUGGCUGUCGUCAGCUCGUGCCGUGAGGUGUUUGGUUAAGUCCAGCAACGAGCGCAACCCUUAUCAUUAGUUGCCAACAUUUAAGGUGGGAACUCUAGUGAGACUGCCCGGGUUAACCGGGAGGAAGGUGAGGAUGACGUCAAGUCCGCAUGGCCCUUAUGUCUGGGGCUACACACGUGCUACAAUGGUCGGUACAGAAGGCAGCGAAACCGCAAGGCGGAGCAAAUCCCAAAAGCCGAUCUCAGUUCAGAUUGUAGUCUGCAACUCGACUACAUGAAGACGGAAUUGCUAGUAAUGGCAGGUCAGCAACACUGCCGUGAAUACGUUCCCGGGCCUUGUACACACCGAUAGC
rnacentral:rRNA from 1 species